GUGCUCACUUCAGCACCACAUAUACUAAAAUGGGAGUGAUUCAGAGAUUAGCAUGGCCCCUGCACAAGGAUAAUACACAAAUUCAUGAAGCGUUCCAUAUUUUU